UGGUUUAAACACAGCGGAUGC
rnacentral:siRNA from 1 species